AAUUCUCAACUCUGAUUUGAUUUGUUUCUAAUCGGAGCUUGGACUUGGAGCGUGCUGGCGUCUAGUCGGCUCCUCUCAAAUGCAGCAGCGGAAUAUAACCUUUGGUUUCCGGACGUCGGUGUGAUAAUAAAAGUUGCGCCGUCAUUCGACUUCAAAGUCCGCUUAUAAUGGUCUUCGGACGAACUCUUAUAUCAA
rnacentral:misc_RNA from 1 species